UCUUUCCAACCCCUCCCAUUCC
rnacentral:miRNA from 1 species